rnacentral:rRNA from 1 species
AGGACGAACGCUGGCGGCGUGCCUAACACAUGCAAGUCGAGCGAAGCGCAUUUUUUAGCUUGCUAAGAGAUGUGACUGAGCGGCGAACGGGUGAGUAACACGUGGGUGAUCUGCCUGAAAGUCUGGGAUAACAGUUCGAAAGGGCUACUAAUACCGGAUGAAGUUAUUAGUGUAGAGCUAAUAAUCAAAGCGUUACGGAGCGCUUUCAGAUGAGCCCGCGUCCCAUUAGCUAGUUGGUGAGGUAAAGGCUCACCAAGGCGACGAUGGGUAGCCGGUCUGAGAGGAUGGACGGCCACACUGGAACUGAGACACGGUCCAGACUCCUACGGGAGGCAGCAGUGGGGAAUUUUGCGCAAUGGGGGCAACCCUGACGCAGCGACGCCGCGUGAGCGAAGAAGGCCUUCGGGUUGUAAAGCUCUGUCUGGGGGGAAGAUAGUGACGGUACCCCCGGAGGAAGCCCCGGCUAACUACGUGCCAGCCGCCGCGGU